rnacentral:rRNA from 1 species
UACAGAGGUGCCAAGCGUUAGGCGGAAUCACUGGGCGUAAAGCGCGCGUAGGCGGGUUGGUAAGUCCGCUGUGAAAGCCCGGAGCUCAACUCCGGAGGGUCGGUGGAUACUGCCAGUCUUGAAGGUGCUAGGGGGAGAUGGAAUUACCGGUGUAGCGGUGAAAUGCGUAGAUAUCGGUAGGAACACCAGUGGCGAAGGCGGUCUCCUGGGGCAUUCUUGACGCUGAGGCGCGAAAGCUGGGGGAGCGAACGGG